GAUGAAGAACGUAGCGAAAUGCGAUACGUAAUGUGAAUUGCAGAAUUCAGUGAAUCAUCGAAUCUUUGAACGCAUAUUGCGCUCUCUGGUAUUCCGGAGAGCAUGCUUGUUUGAGUAUCAGUAAACACCUCAACUUCCAUAUCUUUUUUGAAAUGGGAGUUGGACUUGAGUGAUCCCAACGCUUUUCCUCACCGAAAAGUGGCGGGUUACUUGAAAUGCAGGUGCAGCUGGACUUUUCUCUGAGCUAUAAGCAUAUCUAUUUAGUCUGCCUAAAAAACAGAUUAUUACCUUUGCUGAAGCUAACAUAAAGGAGAUUAGUUCUUGUGCUGACUGAUGCAGGAUUCACAAAGACAGGCUUCGGCCGACUUUGUAAACUCGAUCUCAAAUCAAGUAAGACUACCCGCUGAACUUAAGCAUAUCAAUAAGCGGAGGA
rnacentral:misc_RNA from 1 species